rnacentral:rRNA from 1 species
GAUGAACGCUAGCGGCAGGCUUAACACAUGCAAGUCGAGGGGCAGCGGGGGUAGCAAUACCCGCCGGCGACCGGCGAAAGGGUGCGUAACGCGUGAGCAACCUGCCCGCAUCCGGGGCAUAAGCGGUGGAAACGCCGUCUAAUUUCCCAUAACAACGAGGGCCGCAUGACCCACGUUUGAAAGAUCCGUCGGAUGCGGAUGGGCUCGCGAGACAUUAGCUAGUCGGCGUGGUAACGGCACACCGAGGCGACGAUGUCUAGGGGUUCUGAGAGGAAGGUCCCCCACACUGGAACUGAGACACGGUCCAGACUCC